AGUGAACGCUGGCGGUAGGCCUAACACAUGCCAGUCGAACGGCAGCACAGUAAGAGCUUGCUCUUACGGGUGGCGAGUGGCGGACGGGUGAGGAAUACAUCGGAAUCUACUUUUUCGUGGGGGAUAACGUAGGGAAACUUACGCUAAUACCGCAUACGACCUACGGGUGGAAGCAGGGGAUCUUCGGACCUUGCGCGAUUGAAUGAGCCGAUGUCGGAUUAGCUAGUUGGCGGGGUAAAGGCCCACCAAGGCGACGAUCCGUAGCUGGUCUGAGAGGAUGAUCAGCCACACUGGAACUGAGACACGGUCCAGACUCCUACGGGAGGCAGCAGUGGGGAAUAUUGGACAAUGGGCGCAAGCCUGAUCCAGCCAUACCGCGUGGGUGAAGAAGGCCUUCGGGUUGUAAAGCCCUUUUGUUGGGAAAGAAAAGCAGCAGGUUAAUACCCCGCUGUUCUGACGGUACCCAAAGAAUAAGCACCGGCUAACUUCGU
rnacentral:rRNA from 1 species